rnacentral:rRNA from 1 species
GAGGCAAGUUGGAUGUAUGAAACCGCGAUGGCUCAUUACAUAAGUCUUGGUUUAUUAGAUCAUACGCAUCAAAUGGAUAACUGUGGAAAAUCUAGAGCUAAUACAUGCCGCGAAACUUCGACUUGCGAAGGAGUGCUUUUAUUAGAUCAAAGCCAAUGGCCCACUUGUGGGUCUUAUACUGUGCUGAUUCUGAAUAAAGUAAGCUGAUUGCAUUGCCAUUGAGUAGGUGACGUAUCUUUCAAGUGUCUUCCCUAUCAACUUUCGUUGGUACUUUAUAUGACUACCAUGGUCGUAACGGGUGACGGGGAAUCAGGGUUCGAUUCCGGAGAGAGAGCAUGAGAAACGGCUGUCACAUCCAAGGAAGGCAGCAGGCGCGCAAAUUACCCAAUCCUAGAUCGGGGAGGUAGUGACGAAAAAUAACGAUGCCGUGAUCUUAGGAUUCGGCAAUUGGAAUGAGAACAAUCAAAAUCCUUUAUCGAGGAUCAAUUGGAGGGCAAGUUCUGGUGCCAGCAGCCGCGGAUAGGGCAUUCCAGCACGAUAUAGCGUAUAUGUAAAUAUGCUGCGGUUAAAAAGCUAGUAGUUGGUCGUCAGGAGAUGAACUAGGGGCUACCAAAAUUGUGUAGUCAUACCCGAGAUUCGCUCCUUUAAAUACCACUCCUAUGUGACGCACUUUGAUGUGUGCUGCGUAUGGAUGGUAUGAUACUACUUUGAGAAAAUUAGCGUGCUCAACGCAGCGAUUCGCUUGUAUACUGUUGCAUGGAAUAAUGAGAAAGGACCUCGGUUCUGUUUCGUUGGUUUCCGGAAGCUGAGGUAAUGAUUGAUAGGGACAAACGGGGGCAUUCGUAUUGUGUGUUAGAAGGUGAAAUUCUGUGAUCACCGCAAGACGAACAACUGCGAAAGCAUUUGCCCAGAAUGUUUUCAUUAAUCAAGAACGAAAGUAGAGUUUCGAAGACGAUUAGAUACCGUCCUAGUUCUAACUAUAAACUAUGCCAACUGGGCAUCUGGCGGUAGCACAUAAGGCAUCGGCAGGCACCCCGCGGGAAACCAAAGUUAUAGGGUUCAGGGAGGAGUAUGGUUGCAAAAUCGAAACUUAAAGGAAUUGACGGAGGGGCACACCAGAAGUGGAGCCUGCGGCUCAAUUUGACUCAACGCACGAAAACUUACGUCAAUCCUGGAACACCGUGAGGACUCGACAGCGUUGAAAGCUCUUUCUUGAUUCGGUGUGGUGGUGGUGCAUGGCCGUUCGUAGUUGGUGGAGUGAUUUGUCUGGUUUAUUCCGAUAACGAACGAGACUCUAGCCUAUUAAUUAGUGUGGCGAGUGACGACUUUAUUGGUCUUGCCGCCUGAACACUUCUUAGAGGGACAAGUACUGUAAAGUGCUGGAAGAUGAGCAAUAACAGGUCUGUGAUGCCCUUAGAUGUUCGAGGCUGCACGCGCGCUACAAUGGAGGCUUCAAAAAGUAGUUAUCCUGGUUUGAAAAGAUCGGGGAAUCAAAAAUAGCCUUCACGAUUGGGAUCGGAGAUUGUAAUUAUUCUUCGUGAAAGAGGAAUUCCUAGUAAACGCGAAUCAUUAUUUCGCGUUGAAUAAGUCCCUGCCCUUUGUACACACCGCCCGUCGCUACUACCGAUCGAAUGGUCUAGUGAGGUUUCCGGAUAGGUUGCAUGGAGCCAAAAGCUCCACUGUAUAUUCUAAAAGCUGACCGAACUAACCAUUAGAGUAAGUAAAACUGGUAC